AGAGACUUAGGCUAAUCCAGACCAAGGGCCUUCAAAGCCCUCAGCGGGAGUGAGAAUCUCCCAGUCCCUG
rnacentral:tRNA from 1 species